GCAGACGGCGGAGAGCUGGGAUGGAGCGCGCCUUGGCCCGCUGGCCUUGGCUGCAGCUCCUCGGGAGAGCCGGGGCGCCCACGCGAGAACCUCCCUACCUGAGGACGCUGGGAACACGGAUUCCUGGAUCCCACCAGCCUACGAAGAAAGCCACGGGCGGCGACCCCUGGGACCAGGACGACCAAGGAGGAGGACGACCAGAACUGACCAGCCAGCCCCCUUGGCUAAAGGCUUAGACCUGUGCCCUAGUGAGGGGGCAUUGGUCGCCAACCCCUGACCUUUGCUAUGCUUCUGCCUUGUUGCUCUGAUACUUGCCUCUAUGUCUCUGCCUGUGUUAACCUGCCAGCGCCCUGGAGGGUUGCCAUCCCCAGGGAGGUGUCAGUCUUUCUCGCUCCACUUGUUGUCGCCCGAAUGACGUCCUGAACGGAAGGGUCCCUUUGGGAACGUCUCGGGAGGCCGACCUGGGCCAAGGGCACAACCAGCAUCUCACUGGCAAUUCCAAGGCCCUGGGUGGGCUUCUGGAAUGAGCAUGAGCCCCGACGUCAUGCCACAGAACUGCCAGGGGCACCCCCCCUCCUUUGAGCUCUCCCUGUCCCUCCUGGGGGGACAGGGACGAGAAGAGCAGUCUCCCAGGGGGUUGUGAGUAUUGAAUGAGAUGAAGUCGCCUCGGGCAGGGCCAGGCAUAGAGGAGGCAGUCGGCAAAUGUUUGUUGAUAAAGUUUGGCCGAUCAGUCAGUCCAGCCCCGGCCCGCUCCCGUGUCUCACCGUCUCAUUUAUUCUCCCACAGCACUCCGGAUGGCCCCUGGCCACGGGGCUCUGCCCGCACCAGGCUUCUCGAAAGGUCUGUCUUCACUCGCUGGCUUCCUUGCUCACCUCCAAUGUCCUCUCCAACCCACUGCUUCUUGACCUCUGCGCCGUCGAGCGGCUCUCGCGAAGUCGGCCUGUCCUCGACACACUGGCAGCGAGCGUCGGCUGAAGAACCGGAUGGAAGAGGCGGGAGAGUCACCACGGACUGGCGUUCCUUCAGGUCGGUCGCCUGGCGUCUUCGGGCUGCGACUCCUUCCCGGAUCGGGCUGAAGCCAUCAUCUGUGUCCUCCGUCGGAAGGGACCUCAGACAUGUGGCUCCUGCACCCUCCAGCUCUGAAAUCGGCAGGCUAGGAUGCAAGUGGCCUUGCUGGGGGGCCCUUCCAAGGGCCGAGGGACCAGCCUCUCGAACGGGCUCGGCGCUCCAGUGACCUUCGCGUCCCCCUCCUCCUUGAAUUGUCUGGAAAACAGAAUGGACAGAUUUUCUGUCUUCAAAGUUUCCGGCUAAACCUCUUCAAAGUUCUUUAUUGUUUGGGACUGAGACACUCAGCAGUGCUAAUGGGUAGUUCCUUUUGUAUUUGCCCUGAAAGGCCAAAAUAUUUUUAUAUCGCUCCAGACAAAGCCGUCUAUUUUAAGAUGAACUCUGUCCGUCGUUGGCCACCGGGGAGACGGUGUCCGCCGUGUGUGUGUCUGUGUGCUCUCGGGUCUUGAAACGGGUUUCUCCUGGGGAUGGCCAUUCACAGGGGUCCAGGGGGAAGCGCCUGCCCCCCCGAAGGGGGCCUGGGGAAGCGGGGACUGGGGCAUCCCGCCCUAAUUGCAGAUCUGCCACCCCCACCCACCCCCACCCCCUCUGUGUAGGAUAUGAGCCCCUGGGGCGGUGGGGGCGGGUUCUGGCUGCACUAACAUUUCCUGUGCCUGCGCCUGCACCUGCCAUGCGUAUGUGUUGGGGACCGUGGGUUGUGUGCACCUGGGCGGUUAAUUCAGUGGGAGGAGCUGGGAGGUCAGAGAUACUGUGAAGGUUCUAUUCUGGUUGGGAGGUCACGGCUGGGAGGUGUGACCUGGUCCAAACAAGCGAAUGGAUGCAUCCGUGGAUGAAAGCAUGCAGGAAUGAGCAAACAGAGAAACAGGGAGAGAAGGAAUCAAGCCCGGGUGAGAGUGUGCCCUGAGUGAGAGCCCACCGAUGCCCAGGACGUCAGUGGUUGUGUCAGGAAGUCGGGACUCGGGAUAGACAUAGGGCCACGUCGGAAGCAAGGUCAGGUCAUCGUGGGCGGAGAGACCCGUGAACUUUGGGUAUCGGGCACCUGAAGUUUGUCAUUAAAGGAUAAAACCUAGAUGGAAGAAAGAAUGAGUUAGAGGUGGACACGCGUAAACCAGGGGUGACAAUGAGAUGAUGAGGCCCAGCGGGGAGACGGUGCAGGAGAGGGAAGGAGUGACUGAAAGGGGGAGGCACGGAGAGAGCCCCCAAAAUGAGUAUUUUUAAAAUUAGGGGGCGAGGACGUCUCUAUGGAGGACAGGGUCACGUGAUUAUGAGCCAAGCAUUAGGAUGACUCCAAAUGCAUACUCCCGGCACAAAAAAGGGAAGAACCUGCAGACGGAGAGUUCUGGAAAAAGAUGAGCUGGAAAAGGACCCAGGGAACCAACGAUGAGGGUUAACUUUAGCCUAAAGUUUUCCGACUCUGGGCCCGUGUAGAUAAGUAAAUGCCCAAACGAAAGAAAGCAGAGGGACCAC
ensembl:lncRNA